rnacentral:rRNA from 1 species
UGGGGAAUAUUGCACAAUGGGCGCAAGCCUGAUGCAGCCAUGCCGCGUGUAUGAAGAAGGCCUUCGGGUUGUAAAGUACUUUCAGCGGGGAGGAAGGCGAUAAGGUUAAUAACCUUGUCGAUUGACGUUACCCGCAGAAGAAGCACCGGCUAACUCCGUGCCAGCAGCCGCGGUAAUACGGAGGGUGCAAGCGUUAAUCGGAAUUACUGGGCGUAAAGCGCACGCAGGCGGUCUGUCAAGUCGGAUGUUAAAUCCCCGGGCUCAACCUGGGAACUGCAUUCGAAACUGGCAGGCUAGAGUCUUGUAGAGGGGGGUAGAAUUCCAGGUGUAGCGGUGAAAUGCGUAGAGAUCUGGAGGAAUACCGGUGGCGAAGGCGGCCCCCUGGACAAAGACUGACGCUCAGGUGCGAAAGCGUGGGGAGCAAACA